UGGCUGAAAGACGUUGCCUAACGAUUGUCUAGGUGGCUGUGGCUGUGGCUAAGGCUAUUGAUUUUGUGUUUCAACAAUGCGGGUGAAAAAUGCUCAAAAUUAUAUUGCACGAAAGCUGAAAUUAUAAAGGCUGGCAUUACGGCGGGUCCGUACAGGGUGCCCUGCUUAAACUGCCUCCUUACAGCGAAUAUGUGUUUAAAUGGGUUAAACUAGAACUGAGGGAAAACUUAAAAUUACUGCUCAAGCUAGACUUUAAAUUUGUCACCCAAAUUGCGUAAACACCGCACAUCUGCAUAGAUAAAGGUGGACGAUUUUUGGUUGUGUUUUUGUUGGUCUUCGGUAAAUUUGUUGUCAGAAAAAUCCCGGAUCGGAUCAUCCCUCGUUCCUUGCAAAUCCUUGAUAUUUCAAAGACCCAACCUGAACCUACCCAUUUCAACAUUUCAACAACUGCUGCUCGGAACCCACGUACAGCACGCAAUCAACUGUAGCGCAAUGGCCACGCAACAACCAGCAAAGAAUAAAAAAAUCACUUUUAUGGCAAAGAUCAAACUGGCAGAAAAACAACAGCGACGACGAAAAUACGUUACCAAGGUAGGCCGACGACGAUCACUUCAACUGACGUUGUUGCCUUUGCACAGAGAAAAAUGUAAUCUUCGUAAUCUCAAUCUCGACUUAUCAGAAACAUAUAAUUAAAAUAUAAAAAUUAAAUUGAAGUAUACGUUGCUGCUAUUUACGUUUUAAAUACUUUGUAGCUGUUGAUUGUAAUUUGGCUGAUAUAUAUCUAUAUGCUCUAAUGGAAAUACCUUGUGAGCAACAACUUACUGCCCGUUUUCGCUCAGUGUACUGCUGCUGCGUGGCAGCGACAACAACAGCAACGUCGACAUCAACAGAGGCAACAACAACAGCAGCAGCGACAGCGAACAGCAAAGAAAUGGCCGUUAAAGUUGCCAGGCAAAUGGCAAAAGUCAGGGGCGUAGCUCGAUCCAGGGAUUGCCCCACUGUUCCAGAAGAAAAGACGGGGCUUGAGCUCCCCUUUCGAGCGGGACGUGAGCAGUUCCCUUGGCACGUUUUUCGGUUUUUUCUCCUUGUUUAAUUUUAUUUUUCUUGAUUUCUUCUUGUAUUUUUUGGCGUGGCCGACGACGCCCGUUUGCCAUCAUAAAAGAAGUCAAUUGAAUUUAAAUUUAAAGUACAUAAUGGCCAAGUGAAGGAGGAGAGUUGCCCGAACCGAGGGGAGGGGUGGAGAGUGGCGAAGGCAACGCUGCCGCCUUUCCAAUUUCACAAAGUCAUCCGUGUGGUUUUUGUUGCUGGAGCUGGCUUUUUGCUGUUGGGGCCUCAAACUCUUUUUGUUGUUGUUCUCUGUGUGGGAUUCAAGACUAUGUAUAGGCAUAUACAGGUAUACGUACUUCAUGUACAAGGCCCAGGCACGCAAGGCUUUUGGCUUUCCAGCAAGAGAUACAUCCAUGUGUAGCGACGACCGUUGCUCUUUUGAUUUAAACGUGCUUAAAUUUAAAGAUCAAAUUGCUUGCGUUGCGUUUACGUUUUCGGGGACCUUUCGGGGGAGGGCUAUUUAUCGGUAGGCCCAGGAAUUUUAAAUUGUAGACAGGCAA